AGACUUGCAAGAAUCACAGUAACAGAGUGGAACACACUUCUUUGACGUUUAGGAACUGAGUCAUAAUUUGUUGUUGACUCAGAACAAGUGUUUGGGGUUAUCUGCCUAAGGU
rnacentral:lncRNA from 1 species